GAGCGCACUCAUGAAUCUCUGUAGCUGCUGACUGUGACGCGAGGAUCUGUGGAUCAUUAUUUCUGCAUGACUUUAGUGUAUAUUCAGUGUGAUUUUAUAAACACUUACAUGUUCUUACAGACACGAAUGGAGUUUAAAAAGAAAACAACACAAACAGAAAGCUGCCGGAGCAUCAGAAACCACAGAUGAGCAAAAUAACAGAAAAGAGAGAGAAAUGGAGGUCAGAAAUAAGACACAAAUCUGUGAAUCACAAGAGAAGAGCAGACAGAUGUGUGCCAGAUGGGACAGUAUGCAGAGACUGAAGCCAUUGUUGUAAUGUGAUCCAGACGGAUUUGUGAAGUUUGAUUCUGAUGUUAAACGUGAGGUGAGAUUCUCAGAUCGAACCCUUCAUCACUGACAUCCAUCAGCAGCUGCUGAAGACCUAAACAUCAUCAUCAUCAUCAUCAUCAGACUACGGUUCACGGUCUGUUCAUCUCCUGACAUCUGGAGGCUUUUACAGACUCGUCUGAUCACAAACACACUCAGCAGGAGCUGCAUCUUCUGAUAUCACGCUGAUGCUGGACUUUACUGUCAUCAUCAUGAACAUCUGACCUGCAUCUGCGUCACAGAGACUCGUUUUCAUUUGACAAAAUAUUUGUUUCAUUUUGCACUGCCUCAUAUUUGAUGCAUUUUCAUUUACUAUGCAUGCUUUUGUAUUCCUGUAUAUUAUGAUUUAUUUAAUAGAUUCUAUCCACCUUAUUUCUAACAGAAAUACUCUCUAACAUACAUUGAAUGUAUCUGGCUUCUGCUGUCAUACACUUCCAGUUAUUUUUAGCUGCACAAAACAGCUCAUUAUGCUGCUUGAUGCUGCAAAACCUGGUACUACUUUUAAUGAAGUGUCAUAAUUAUAAAAACACAGGUCUGUAGAGCAAUUGUUUUACCGUUCACUGCACUUUAUUAUUCUAGUUAUUUCCAUAUUGCAGCUGAUGAAUCUGAAGUCUUGCACUUUCACAGAAAAUCACUUACUUCCGUGUUGCAAAAUAAGGUGGAUAUUUCUCUGUAUAUUUUUGUAUCGUUCCAUCGUUCCGUUUAUUGCAUAUGCGUUUAUUAACUUUUCAUCCUAUUCUUAAUUAAUGUAACAACCAUUG